AGUGAACGCUGGCGGUAGGCCUAACACAUGCAAGUCGAACGGCAGCACAGUAAGAGCUUGCUCUUACGGGUGGCGAGUGGCGGACGGGUGAGGAAUAAAUCGGAAUCUACAUUUUCGUGGGGGAUAACGUAGGGAAACUUACUCUAAUACCGCAUACGACCUACGGGUGAAAGCAGGGGAUCUUCGGACCUUGCGCGAUUGAAUGAGCCGAUGUCGGAUUAGUUAGUUGGCUGGGUACAGGCCCACCAAGGCGACGAUCCGUAGCUGGUCUGAGUGGAUGGUCGGCCACACUGGAACUGGGACACGGUCCAGACUCCUACGGGAGGCAGCAGAGGGGAAUAUUGGACAAAGGGCGCAAGCAUGAUCCAGCCAUACCGCGUGGGUGAAGAAGGCCUUCGGGUUGUAAAGCCCUUUUGUUGGGAAAGAAAAGCAGCAGGUUAAUACCCCGCUGUUCUGACGGUACCCAAAGAAUAAGCACCGGCUAACUUCGUG
rnacentral:rRNA from 1 species